rnacentral:rRNA from 1 species
GGGGUGCUCGAGUGGCGAACGGGUGAGUAACACGUGAGUAACCUGCCCUUGACUUUGGGAUAACUUCAGGAAACUGGGGCUAAUACCGGAUAGGAGCUCCUGCUGCAUGGUGGGGGUUGGAAAGUUUCGGCGGUUGGGGAUGGACUCGCGGCUUAUCAGCUUGUUGGUGGGGUAGUGGCUUACCAAGGCUUUUACGGGUAGCCGGCCUGAGAGGGUGACCGGCCACAUUGGGACUGAGAUACGGCCCAG